rnacentral:rRNA from 1 species
UCCAGACUCCUACGGGAGGCAGCAGUGGGGGAUAUUGCACAAUGGGGGGAACCCUGAUGCAGCGACGCCGCGUGGGUGAAGGAGCGUUUCGGCGCGUAAAGCCCUAUCGGCAGGGAAGAAGGAGGACGGUACCUGACUAAGAAGCCCCGGCUAACUACGUGCCAGCAGCCGCGGUAAUACGUAGGGGGCAAGCGUUAUCCGGAUUUACUGGGUGUAAAGGGGGCGCAGACGGCAGCGCAAGCCAGGAGUGAAAGCCCGGGGCCCAACCCCGGGACUGCUCUUGGAACUGCGCGGCUGGAGUGCAGGAGGGGCAGGCGGAAUUCCUGGUGUAGCGGUGAAAUGCGUAGAUAUCAGGAGGAACACCGGUGACGAAGGCGGCCUGCUGGACUGCGACUGACGUUGAGGCCCGAAAGCGUGGGGAGCAAACAGGAUUAGAUACCCGCGUAC